AGCGAACGCUGGCGGCAGGCUUAACACAUGCAAGUCGAGCGGGCACUUUCGGGUGUCAGCGGCGGACGGGUGCGUAACGCGUGGGAACGUGCCCUCUGGUUCGGAAUAACUCAGGGAAACUUGAGCUAAUACCGGAUACGCCCUUUUGGGGAAAGGCUUGCUGCCGGAGGAUCGGCCCGCGUCUGAUUAGCUAGUUGGUGAGGUAACGGCUCACCAAGGCGACGAUCAGUAGCUGGUCUGAGAGGAUGAUCAGCCACACUGGGACUGAGACACGGCCCAGACUCCUACGGGAGGCAGCAGUGGGGAAUAUUGGACAAUGGGCGCAAGCCUGAUCCAGCCAUGCCGCGUGAGUGAUCAAGGCCUUAGGGUUGUAAAGCUCUUUUAUCCGGGACGAUAAUGACGGUACCGGAGGAAUAAGCCCCGGCUAACUUCGU
rnacentral:rRNA from 1 species